GAGAGAUCUGGGCUUCCAGUGACAUCUACUGAUCCCACGUCACUCCUCUCCCUAUCAGCCAGUCUGUAGAGACUGGGUUACUGGCUUGGGCUCACACAUAUUCAUGGACACAGCUGGGACAUUUUAAUUAACUUAAUUCUGCUUAAUUACUCACUCCGGUGCAGCUGACCAAACUCCAUCACGAACCCUCUCCGCAUGGCUGAGUUAUGGCCAGCUUUGAGAGGGGUUCUGGGAACCGGAGAAAGAUGGACAGGCAGGAACACCAAACAGUGGACUUCAGUGAAGAACUGGGUAGAGUUACACCAGCCAUUUAGCCUCCUGACAUCCAGCAGUGGGGUUUGAGAUGCAGAGGGCAGGGGCUGCUCCUCCUGGUGCUCCGGGGUCAGGUAAGGUAGCAUAGGGGUCUGCUCGGGGUCACAAGGCCCCAGCAGGAGAGCCUGAGAGUGGGCAGACUGUAUGUGGAUUUAGAACCUGAGGACCAGAACCAUCCACGUACCACCAAUUAAGCCCGACUCUGCCCCGGUGAUGCGGGACACCACCAGGACGGGUCUUGGGCCCCUUCUUGUUUAUGCAUUUGCAUUGUUCCCAGAUGUGUAACUAGGCAAUUGUGCUGGGCCAUAAAACAGCAUGUCUUUUUAAAAGUAUUUGAAAGGGAAAAAGAGGCAAGCUAGUCUAUUCAUUUACCUCAACUUUGUCAAUCUCUCACAAACACUAUUAUAACCUUAAACCAGCCGAAUAAUGAGCAAAACCACAGCUCCUACUGAGUUGGCAAAAGAGACAGUAAAGAAGGGAGGAGAAAACCUUAAAAAAGGACAACAAGAGGGAAAGAAAAUUAAUGACUCUUCACAUAUUGCCUGUGUUUCUUUUGUGGAGACCAACAAAAGACAAGCAGGUUCGAGAGGAUGUGGGGCUCGGGAGCCAGUGGAUAUCUGGCCUGUAAAUUCCACCAAACAUUAAUAACUUCAUUACAUAGCAAUUACCAGCCAGAGGUGGGGGAACGGAGUAUCACACUUCAACAUGCAUUUGUCCAAGACUCGGCACUUCUCGGCCUUCUUCUUUUCUCUCUCACCCCCUCUUUCUUACCCCAUCUUUCUUUCUGUCUCCUAAAGGCAGAAAGGUCAAACCAUUACAUCGUCUGAAUGAAAUGUUCCUGACUUCCUCUGAUCUAUAGGCGACUGGCCUGGAAGCCACUGGUAUUGUUCAGGUGUGUAAUAAUUAAUGCAGCACUAGAAUGACUCUCCUGGGAUGAACGGAGGGGUGGGAAUGCUGUCGAUUCCACACCCACUGAGGUCACAAACUGUCUCCGGAUCAAAAGGCCAAAACGGGAAGCCAAAGAGCAAUGCUACAAUGCUCAGUUUACUUAUUUACUAUCAGUUGUCUUAUUUGAAUUGAACACACUCUGUAAUUCCCUGGUAAAGCAUCUCUGUCUAUAUCUAUAAUUUAAUUGAUGUCAAAUAAUUGGCUGCUAUUACAGUGCCAUAUUACAAAACCACACUGUGAACCCACAUUAUACUUAUUUACUGAUUACAUAUUAUAUCAUAUUAUUUACCACACCUGAGUGUCAUUAUUUCCAGAGAAAUGAAAACGUUUGUGUGCGAUCAUUAAACAGGUGUGACUCCUAAAUAUAUAUUUAUAUAUUUAAUGAGUAUUUAAUUAAUUUGUUUCUUCAUAUACUUGUUAGCAGUGCAUACUUAGGUUGUUUAGUUUAUUGCAUUAUUUUGCAUGAUUCGUGCUGCCCUGAUGGUAAGUUGUGUUUGUAAUAUUCCACUCUGUUUAUAUAUGUUUAUUAAUCAUGGUUCAGCAGAGGAUAAAUUACAGUAUAAUGAGCAUUUAUUGACAUUUCUUUUAUGGACACUUUUGUAUUAAGUCAUACAUGUAAUAAAAUAAGUGUGUUGCAUGAGGACGCACACAGACUGAAAUGAUAUGGGCAAGCAGAGACAUGAAACAGCAAUCAAGUCUUUGAUGUGAGCCUCGGGCAACAAGUCAACCUGAACCUCCUUUACAAGGAACUAUUCAUAAUUGCUGCAUGUUCAUACAAAGACAUGCAUUGUUUCCUUCUCUGAUUCUCAAUUCGAAAAUACAUUCGCAUUAACACGUAUCUAAGUUUGACCUACUUUGUUUGAUAAAAUGAUCAUUUACUCAGGCCCUCCUCACAUCUGAGUCUAUCACUCUAGGAGAGUCAAAAUAUUGCAUCGUCUAAAUGUUUUUAUUGUUCUGUUGCAAACAGCUUAAGGUGUUAAACAACCCGAGCAAAUUGAUUUUUGACCAAGAUAAACAUUUCCACGGUGCUUUUUUCUUAAUUCCAGGAAGCUGGUGCUCAAUAAUCAACCCCUGUCACCGUUGAUGGAAGACAUCAGGAUUCACACAAUACAGCGUGUUAAACAUCAAACUGUGGUGUGAACGAAGCAUCUCUGCUCUCUAACUCUCUGACUGUGAUUCCUUACAGAAGCUGCUGCUGGUGACACUUCCAAUGAAACUCCAGCAGAAAUGAGCCUUACGAGGUACAGGCACUUGAAGACAAGAUAAUUAAGGACUCUGACAGCAUGAACACACAGUGGAGAAAUAUUGGAUGAUUUGCCCCAUAAGGCCCAUAUGCUCUGCUUAGCUUUGUCCUCCUGAAGGCACUACAGCACGCAUGCAGGCCAGCACACGCGUGUGCUUCGACAUCUGCCCGCAGGACGUGUCAGUGGAAACUUCUCGCAUCCGACUGAUCCAGCACAGACACUGGGAAGCUUGCAGGGCUGAAGAUGUCAGAUGCAAACCCUCACAGUCAUGGAGAACAGAAAAAGAUCAGCUUCAGAAACGCAGUAUUACAUCUGGGAGAGAUGAUGGAAAACGAACAAAACUCAGCAGCGACUGUGAACAUGAUUGUCCCCUUAAGCUCCAUAUUCUGGUUAAGCCUUUAUUCUGAACAGAUGUUUGCUCCACAGAUAUUGGGAUAUUCCUGUAUAGUCAACAUAAGCUGAAAACAAAAGAGUAUUCUUUUGUGUGGAUACUGGAGUUUAUGACACAGUUUGUAUAUUGCUUGAACUGCUUAUUGCAAUCAGGUUAAUGUGUUUAUGUGUAAUGUGUAAUCAGGUUAAUCAUAUAUUCUAUGAUUAAAAAUGCAGAUUACGGUCAAUCCAGACCAAUCCAGGA